rnacentral:rRNA from 1 species
CGCAUCUGUGCAUGCAGCAUAUCAAUAAGCGGAGGAAAAGAAACUAACAAGGAUUCCCUUAGUAACGGCGAGUGAAGCGGGAAGAGCUCAAAUUUGAAAUCUUCAAGGUUUUACCUUGACGAAUUGUAGUUUAAAGAAGUGUUUUCUGUUGAAGUUUUGGUAAAAGUUCUUUGAAAUAGGACAUCAUAGAGGGUGAGAAUCCCGUAUUUGACCAUUAUUUUCAGCUGUGUGAUACACUUUCAAAGAGUCGGAUUGUUUGGGAAUGCAGUCCAAAAUGGGUGGUAAAUUUCAUCUAAAGCUAAAUAUUGGCGAGAGACCGAUAGCGAACAAGUACCGUGAGGGAAAGAUGAAAAGAACUUUGAAAAGAGAGUUAAACAGUACGUGAAAUUGUCAAAAGGGAAGCGUUUGACACCAGUGUUGUUUUCUCGAAAAUCAAUUAAAAAGAGUUAGAUUUUGUUGUGUAUUGACCUUAACAGCUUGCAUUUCAAUUUUCUUGCUUUUUUUAAUGCACUUUUCGUUUAACAAGUCAACAUCAGUUUCUUUUGUUGUAAAAAGGUCAUUGGAAGGUGGCUUUCUUUUCGGAGAAAGUGUUUAUAGCCUUUGACUCCUGCAAUCGGAGAGACUGAGGUCUGCAGCGUAGAUCCUUCGGGGUUAGAUACAUUUGUGCUAAGUUAUAGCUUUUUAUAGACAACUUGUUGACUAUGAUUAGUCUUGUAGCUUACUCGCUUAUGCUAUUUUACCUACGCUUAGGAUGUUGACACACGCGCGUGCUCG